CGAAAGUUAGAGGUUCGAAGGCGAUCAGAUACCGCCCUAGUUCUAACCAUAAACGAUGCCAGCCAGCGAUCCGGCUGUGUUCCUCAAAUGACACGCCGGGCAGCUUCCGGGAAACCAAAGCUUUUGGGUUCCGGGGGAAGUAUGGUUGCAAAGCUGAAACUUAAAGGAAUUGACGGAGGGGCACCACCAGACGUGGAUGUUGCGGUUCAAUUUGACUCAACGCAGCAAAUCCUACCAGGCCAGGACACAGGAAGGAUUGACAGAUUGAGAGCUCUUUCUUGAUUCUGUGGGUGGUGGUGCAUGGCCGUUCCUGGUUCGUGGAGCGAUUUGUCUUGUUUAUUCUGAUAACGGACGAGAUUCUAGCCUACUAAAUAGACGCUUCGAUCCUUCGAGUCGAGCGUUCUUCUUAGAGGGACAGGCGAUGUUUAGUCGCACGAGGCAGAGCAAUAACAGGUCUGUAAUGCCCUUAGAUGUCCUGGGCCACACGCGUCCUACAUUGAAGGAAUCAACGUGUGCUUUCCCUGUCCGAAGGGACUGGGUAACCCGUUGAACCUCCUUCGUGCUGGGGAUAGGAAAUUGUAAUUAUUUUCCUUGAACGAGGAACUUCUAGUAAGCGCGAGUCAUCAUCUCGGGUUGAUUAGGUCCCUGCCCCUUGUCCACACCGCCCGUCGCUAUUACCGAUUGAAUGAUUUAGUGAGGUCUUCGGACUGGCGCUCGGAUUGGCCUUCGGGUCGAGCCGGCGUGCCGGAAAGAUGACCGAACUUGACCAUUUAGAGGAAAUAAAAGUCGUAACAAGG
rnacentral:rRNA from 1 species